rnacentral:pre_miRNA from 1 species
AGGCAGUGUGCUGUAAGCUGGCUGCUUGGGUUCAAUUGAGCAGUCAGGACUAGCCUGCCAC